rnacentral:rRNA from 1 species
AGGGCACCACCAGGAGUGGAGCCUGCGGCUUAAUUUGACUCAACACGGGGAAACUCACCCGGCCCGGACACCGUAAGGAUUGACAGAUUGAGAGCUCUUUCUCGAUUCGGUGGGUAGUGGUGCAUGGCCGUUCUUAGUUGGUGGAGUGAUUUGUCUGGUUAAUUCCGAUAACGAACGAGACUCCAGCCUACUAAAUAGAUACCGAAUUUUUAGUUCGGUACACUUCUUAGAGGGACAAGUGGUGUUUAGCCACAUGAGAUUGAGCAAUAACAGGUCUGUGAUGCCCUUAGAUGUCCGGGGCUGCACGCGCGCUACACUGAAGGAGUCAACAUGUGUCUAUCCUGGUCCGAAAGGACUGGGUAACCAUGUCAAACUCCUUCGUGAUUGGGAUAGGGAAUUGUAAUUAUUUCCCUUGAACGAGGAAUUCCUAGUAAGUGCGGGUCAUAAUCUCGCGUUGAUUACGUCCCUGCCCUUUGUACACACCGCCCGUCGCUACUACCGAUUGCGUGUUUUCCUGAG